CCAAACUACCCUUCGGAACACAAUACCCUCGGGAAACUGAGGCUAAUAGUGUAUAUCAUACCACCACUGGAAUGAGUGGUAUGCCAAACGCUCCGGCGCCGAAGGAUGUGGCUGCGGCCGAUUAGGUAGACGGUGGGGUAACGGCCCACCGUGCCAAUAAUCGGUAUGGGUCAUGAGAGUGAGAACCCAGAGACGGAAUCUGAGACAAGAUUCCGGGCCCUACGGGGCGCAGCAGGCGCGAAACCUUUACACUGCACGACAGUGCGAUAGGGGGAUCCCAAGUGCACAGGCAUAGCGCCUGUGCUUUUCGGCACCCUAAGGCGGUGCCAGAAUAAGGGCUGGGCAAGACCGGUGCCAGCCGCCGCGGUAAUACCGGCAGCCCAAGUGAUGGCCGAUCUUAUUGGGCCUAAAGCGUCCGUAGCUGGCCGCGCAAGUCCAUCGGGAAAUCCACCUGCUCAACAGGUGGGCGCCCGGUAGAAACUGCGUGGCUUGGGACCGGAAGGCGCGACGGGUACGUCCGGGGUAGGAGUGAAAUCCCGUAAUCCUGGACGGACCGCCGAUGGCGAAAGCACGUCGCGAGAACGGAUCCGACAGUGAGGGACGAAAGCCAGGGUCUCGAACCGGAUUAGAUACCCGGGUAGUCCUGGCCGUAAACAAUGUCUGCUAGGUGUGGCUCCCACUACGAGUGGGUGCUGUGCCGUAGGGAAGCCGCUAAGCAGACCGCCUGGGAAGUACGUCCGCAAGGAUGAAACUUAAAGGAAUUGGCGGGGGAGCACUACAACCGGAGGAGCCUGCGGUUUAAUUGGA
rnacentral:rRNA from 1 species